rnacentral:rRNA from 1 species
GUGCCAGCAGCCGCGGUAAUACGUAGGUGGCAAGCGUUGUCCGGAAUUACUGGGUGUAAAGGGCGAGUAGGUGGAUCACUAAGUCAGAGGUGAAAACCCAUGGCUAAACUGUGGGAUAGCAACUGAAACUAGAGAUCUUGAGUACUGGAGAGGGAAGCGGAAUUCCUAGUGUAGCGGUGAAAUGCGUAGAUAUUAGGAGGAACACCAGUGGCGAAGGCGGCUUCCUGGACAGAGACUGACACUGAGGCGCGAAAGCGUGGGGAGCGAACAGGAUUAGAUACCCUGGUAGUCCACGCUGUAAACGAUGGAUACUAGGUGUAGGUGGUAAGAAACCAUCUGUGCCGGAGUAAACACAAUAAGUAUCCCACCUGGGGAGUACAGCCGCAAGGUUGAAACUCAAAGGAAUUGACGGGGGCCCGCACAAGCAGUGGAGUAUGUGGUUUAAUUCGAAGCAACGCGAAGAACCUUACCAGGGCUUGACAUCCCUUGAACUAUCUAGAGAUAGGUAGGGCCUACGGGACAAGGAGACAGGUGGUGCAUGGUUGUCGUCAGCUCGUGUCGUGAGAUGUUGGGUUAAGUCCCGCAACGAGCGCAACCCUUAUAGCUAGUUGCCAGCAAUAAGAUGGGGACUCUAGCGAGACAGCCGUUGAGAAAACGGAGGAAGGAAAGGAUGACGUCAAAUCAUCAUGCCCCUUAUGCUCUGGGCUACACACGUACUACAAUGGCUACUACAGAGGGAAGCGAAGCCAGGAGGCGGAGCAAAUCUCAAAAAGGUAGUCCCAGUUCAGAUUGUAGGCUGAAACUCGCCUGCAUGAAGUAGGAAU